ensembl:snRNA U6 U6 spliceosomal RNA
GUACUAGCUUCGGCAGCACAUAUACUAAAACUGGAACAAUACAGAGAAGAUUAGCAUGGCCCCUGAGCAAGGAUGACAUGCAAAUUCGUGAAGGGUUCCAUAUUUUC